ACGUACACUCCUACGGGAGGCAGCAGUGGGGAAUUUUACGCAAUGGGGGAAACCCUGACGUAGCGACACCGCGUGAGCGAAGAAGCCCUUUGGGGUGUAAAGCUCUGUCAGCUGGAACGAAAACAAUGACGGUACCAGCAGAGGAAGCAUCGGCUAACUACGUGCCAGCAGCCGCGGUAAGACGUAGGAUGCGAGCGUUGUCCGGAUUUAUUGGGCGUAAAGAGUUCGUAGGUGGUUUGUUAAGUUUGGUGUUAAAGAUCGGGGCUCAACCCUGGGACUGCACUGAAUACUGGCAGACUCGAGUGUGGUAGAGGCUAGUGGAAUUCCCAGUGUAGCGGUGAAAUGCGUAGAUAUUGGGAAGAACACCGGUGGCGUAGGCGACUAGCUGGGCCAUAACUGACGCUGAGGAACGAAAGCCAGGGGAGCGAAUGGGAUUAGAAACCCUUGUAGUCCCAUGAU
rnacentral:rRNA from 1 species